UUUCUUACAUGUGUUCUAGCAAUCUUGCUUUAGCAGCACGUAAAUACUGGAGUUCAUGACCAUAUCUGCACUCUCCAGUAUUACUUUGCUGCUAUAUUAAGAUUGCCAUAAGUUGCACAAGGAAAU
rnacentral:precursor_RNA from 14 species